CUUAUUCGAAAAUCGCGUAAGAAUCUCUUUUGCUAUCAUCUCUCUUCCUUACUUUUACUUUCUAUUAAAACCAAAUGAUUAUCUUCAUCAUGACAUUUCCUUCAUAUACCGCAAACCCCAAUUUUCAUUUCCUUCAAGGAAGAUGAAGAUGUUGUCUUCUUCGAGAUUAGAAUUCUUGAAUGAACACAAUCAAAAACCACCUUAUAUAACAGAAUCAAAGGGUAGCUUUUAAGAAAGAUUAGGAAGCUUUCAUUUUUUGUGGGGAAUGUCGCCUGGUCCAAGGAGAUAAACUAUCUUUAGAACUUAUCAUAUAUGAAUAUGAUGUAUCAUGUAAGUAACAAUAUCCUGAUUGUAUAAUUGUGUUUUUGUCACAAGUUAGUGUCUUCUCGGACCAGGCUUCAUUCCCCUCAAU